GACGAACGCUGGCGGCGUGCUUAACACAUGCAAGUCGAACGGAAAGGCCCCAGCUUGCUGGGGUACUCUAAUGGCCAACGGGUGACUAACACUUGGGUGAUCUGCCCUGCACUCUGGGAUAAACCUGGGAAACUGGAUCUAAUACCGGAUAAGACCGUGCUUUAAUGUGUGCGGCGGAAAGUUUUUCGGUGCAUGAUGAGCCCACGGCCUAUCAGCUUGAUGAUGGGGUAAUGGCCUACCAAGGCGGCCACGGGUACCCGGACUGAGAGGGUGUACGGACACAUUGGGACUGAGACACUGCCCAAACUCCUACGGGAGGCAACACCGUGAAAUAUUGCACAAUGGGCGCAAGCCUGAUGCAUCGACUCCUCGUGGUGGAUGACGGCCUUCGAGUUGUAAACCCCUUUCGGAAGGGACCAAGCUUUUGUGACUGUACCUGCAUAAGAAGCACCGGCUAACUACAUGCCAGCACCCACGGUAAUACCUAGGGUGCCAGCGUUGUCCAGAAUUACUGGGCAUAAAGAGCUCGUAGGUGGUUUGUCGCGCCUGCUGUGAAAUCCCGGGGCUUAACUCCCGACGUGCAUGCGAUACUGGCAUAACUUGAGUGCUGUAGGGGAGACUGGAAUUCCUGGUGUAGCGGUGAAAUGCGCAUAUAUCAGAGAGGAACACCGAUGGCAAAGGCAGGUCUCUGGGCAGUAACUGACGCUGAGGAGCGAAAGCAUGGGUAGCGAACAGGAUUAGAUACCCUGCUAGUCCAUGCCGAAAACGGUGGGCGCUAGGUGUGGGGAUCUUCCACGAUUUCCGUGCCGUAACUAACGCAUUAAGCGCCCCGCCUGGGGAGUACGGCCGCAAGGCUAAAACUCAAAGGAAUUGACGGGGGCCCGCACAAGCGGCGGAGCAUGUGGAUUAAUUCGAUGCAACGCGAAGAACCUUACCUGGGCUUGCACAUGAGCAGGACCGGUGUGGAGACACGUCUUCCCUUUUGGGCUUGUUCACAGGUGGUGUCAUGGUUGUCGUCAGCUCGUGUCGUGAGAUGUUGGGUUAAGUCCCGCAACGAGCGCAACCCUUGUCUUGUGUUGCCAGCACGUAAUGGUGGGGACUCGCGAGAGACUCCCGGGGUUAACUCGGAGGAAGGUGGGGAUGACGUCAAAUCAUCAUGCCCCUUAUGUCCAGGGCUUCACACACGCUACAAUGGUCGGUACAGUGGGUUGCGAUGCCGAGAGGCUCAGGUAAUCCCUUAAAGCCGGUUUCAGUUUGGAUUGGAGUUUGCAACUUGACUCCAUGAAGUUGGAGUCGCUAGUAAUCGCAGAUCAGCAACGAUGCGGUAAAUACGUUCCCGGGUCU
rnacentral:rRNA from 1 species